CCUAGCAAAUUGCCGUGUCCCUUCAGCGCCUCGCCGACUAGCACACCGCUGUGACCCUCGCCGCCUAGCAAAGCAGCGCGUGCCUUCGCCGCCUCGCUGCUUAAGAAAGCGCUGCGUGCCUUUUCGCCCUCGCCGCCUAGCAAAGCACCUAGCAAAGCGCCGUAUGCCGUCGACGACUACCAAAUCGCUUGGUGGCUUCGCUGCCUCGUGCCUUAGCAAAGCACCACAUGCCUUCGGCGCCUACAAAAGCGCUGUGUCCCUUCGGCGCUACUAGGGUGUUUGCUAAGCAGCGAGGCGGCGAAGGCACACAGUGCUUUGGCAGGCGGCGAGGCGGCGGAGGGACGCAGUGCUUUGGCAGGCGGCAAAGGGUCGCAUCGGUUGCUUAGUUUGCGAGGCAGCGAAGAGAUCGAGUGCUUUGCUUGUUGGCGAGGCAGCGAACAGAUUCAUUCAGUCUGCUUGUCUGUGAGACAGCCAACGUGCAGAGUGGCUCAUUUUUCGGCAAGGCAGCGAAGAGACGCAGCACUUUGCUUGUCCAGCAGGUGGCGCGGUUGCAUCGCGGAUUGCUUUUUGGCGUGGAGGUGA
rnacentral:lncRNA from 1 species